rnacentral:rRNA from 1 species
AGCGAACGCUGGCGGCAGGCCUAACACAUGCAAGUCGAACGAAGCCUUCGGGCUUAGUGGCGGACGGGUGAGUAACACGUGGGAACGUACCUUUUGGUUCGGAAUAACGCAGAGAAAUUUGCGCUAAUACCGAAUGAGCCCUUCGGGGGAAAGAUUUAUCGCCGAAAGAUCGGCCCGCGUUGGAUUAGGUAGUUGGUGUGGUAAAGGCGCACCAAGCCUACGAUCCAUAGCUGGUCUGAGAGGCUGAUCAGCCACACUGGGACUGAGACACGGCCCAGACUCCUACGGGAGGCAGCAGUGGGGAAUCUUGCGCAAUGGGCGAAAGCCUGACGCAGCCAUGCCGCGUGAAUGAUGAAGGUCUUAGGAUUGUAAAAUUCUUUUACCAGGGACGAUAAUGACGGUACCUGGAGAAAAAGCCCCGGCUAACUUCGUGCCAGCAGCCGCGGUAAGAC